CGAUCAUGUGAUGAGAAACUUCUGCAAUAAAGUAAUGAAGUGUUUCAUGAUUUUGGCUUAUAAGUCUCUGAUGAUG